UCAGACAUCAGCUCUUAUUGUACUGGGUGAGUAUUUUACGCAUUUAUUUGAAUCAUUGUCGUAGGUAGAGAUAAAAUAAAGGUCACAAUAAAUUAAUUAAAUUAUUAGCUCUUAUUGUUCUGGCUGAGUGUUGAUCAUUAGGGGAACCAGUCGUGGCUUCAGGUACUAGUAUCUCUGGGUAAAUGGCCAAGGAGGUUGGAUCACUGAAAGACAGGCGACAAGAAGCCACUGGCAUCAAAGGCUGGACCUCUGUAGGGAUUAGUGAUUUAAGGACAUAUUGUUGUUGAUUUCAUGUUUUUGUUCUUUGUUGUCUUUGAACAGAACCUCAACCUUCAACCGGUGGUUGUUCAGGUGGUUGCAUCGCUGGAAUAGUGAUCGCGGUUGUUGUUGUUGUUGUGGUUCUGGUUAUUCUAGUUUAUUUCCUUUGGAUCAAACCGUAAGUGAAUUUUCAAUAAUUCCGAUUGUAGAGUAGCUUUGACUGGAGCCUCAUCUCUGUAAAUGUAUAAUAUAUACCUAAUAUAUUAACAUAUUUUAUUUAUUAUAUACUGUAUCAGCAGAGAUGCUGCCAUUAGAACGGGUGAGUCCUGCUACAGCUGUGUGUUUAAUAUUUGCUGUGAUGGUUCAUUAUUCUAAGUUCUGUAUCUGAACAUAUGUUGAAGGAGGUGAAGGUCAGAACAACACAACAUCCCCACAGAAACAGGAGCUGGAAUAUGCUCACAUCAGCUUCCAGAACAUAGACGGUGGGACUGUCCAGCUGAGACCAGAGGAAAAGCAGUCUCAGUAUGCUGAGAUUAAUGCGUACAAGCCUCAUGAGCCGUCGUCUCCUCCAACCUGUGAUGCCACAUGCACCGAAUGAGCCUGGAGCUAAUGGUGCACAUGGUGCUCAGGCACUGUACAUAGGACGAUUGAACUGAGUGCGAUGGUGGAGCUGAAUUUCGAAACCAACAUUUGUUAUGUUAUUCCUCUAAAGUGAUAGUUUAUUGCCUAAAUACUAGAUCUCCAUUGGGCUCAAAGAUUGGGGUUUUUUACUAUUGUGACCAAAAGAACUGAGGAUGGAAUGGUGGUCUGUCUGUCAGUGAUUUGUGAUAUUCAUGUGUGAAAAUAUCGAUUCAGCUGUGGAUUCAUGGGGGUUUGUUUGACCAAUCAGGAGAGUCUGCAUGUAAAUAAAAGGCACUAGUGAGAUCAACCAAACUACUAUUACUGCUGCCUUUCACACAGUAGUCAAAGGCAGCAGUAAAAGCCAAGUUAGUUCUAAGAUCAUUUAAAACCUUCAACAUUUUGACAGAUCUAUUUUACUUGGUUAAAAACAAGCUUUUCUAAAAUUCCACAUAAAAAUAGCAGGUUGGACACUGGUUUAGUUACUGGAGUAAAGGAUUCAAAUGUAUCUUUUUUGCAUGAUCUUUCUGGUAUUCUGCGCUUGCUUACAGAAUGUUUAGUUUAUUCAUUUCUCCCUGGUUGUUUGUAGUGACACUCUAUCUACAAUAAACCAUUUACAGUCACAGGAAGAGAGCAAUAAAAUUAGUAGCCGCUUCAGCAGUGAUGUAACGCUUCCUCAUUGUGUGUUCUACUGAAAUAAAUUGUUUAAACACA